GGUAAUUCCAGCUCCAAUAGCGUAUAUUAAAGUUGUUGCAGUUAAAAAGCUCGUAGUUGAAUUUCGGGAUCAGUACGCUGGUCAUGCCUUUGGUAUGCACUGGUGUCACUGGUUUCUCCCUUCUGAAGAACCGUGAUGUCAUUAAUUUGGUGUCGCGGGGAAUCAGGACUGUUACUUUGAAAAAAUUAGAGUGUUUAAAGCAGGCUCACGCUUGAAUACAUUAGCAUGGAAUAAUGAAAUAGGACGUUUGACCCUAUUUUGUUGGUUUCUAGGAUCGACGUAAUGAUUAAUAGGGAUAGUUGGGGGCAUUAGUAUUCAAUUGUCAGAGGUGAAAUUCUUGGAUUUAUUGAAGACUAACUACUGCGAAAGCAUUUGCCAAGGAUGUUUUCAUUAAUCAAGAACGAAAGUUAGGGGAUCGAAGACGAUCAGAUACCGUCGUAGUCUUAACCAUAAACUAUGCCGACUAGGGAUCGGAUGAUGUUAAUUUUAUA
rnacentral:rRNA from 1 species